rnacentral:rRNA from 1 species
AGUGAACGCUGGCGGUAGGCCUAACACAUGCAAGUCGAACGGCAGCACAGUAAGAGCUUGCUCUUACGGGUGGCGAGUGGCGUACGGGUGAGGAAUACAUCGGAAUCUACUUUUUCGUGGGGGAUAACGUAGGGAAACUUACGCUAAUACCGCAUACGACCUACGGUUGAAAGCAGGGGAUCUUCGGACCUUGCGCGAUCGAAUGCGCCGAUGUCGGAUUAGCUAGUUGGCGGGGUAAAGGCCCACCAAGGCGACGAUCCGUAGCUUGUCUGAGAGGAGGAUAGGCCACACUGGAAGUGAGACACGGUCCAGACGACUAAGGGAGGCAGCAGUGGGGAAUAUUGGACAAUGGGCGCAAGCCUGAUCCAGCCAGACCGCGUGGGUGAAGAAGGCCUUCGGGUUGUAAAGCCCGUUUGUUGGGAAAGAAAAGCAGCAGGUUAAUACCACGCGGUUCUGACGGUACCAAAAGAAUAAGCACCGGCUAACUUCGUG